rnacentral:rRNA from 1 species
GACGAACGCUGGCGGCGUGCCUAAUACAUGCAAGUAGAACGCUGAAGGAGGAGCUUGCUUCUCUGGAUGAGUUGCGAACGGGUGAGUAACGCGUAGGUAACCUGCCUGGUAGCGGGGGAUAACUAUUGGAAACGAUAGCUAAUACCGCAUAAUAGUAGAUGUUGCAUGACAUUUGCUUAAAAGGUGCAAUUGCAUCACUACCAGAUGGACCUGCGUUGUAUUAGCUAGUUGGUGGGGUAACGGCUCACCAAGGCGACGAUACAUAGCCGACCUGAGAGGGUGAUCGGCCACACUGGGACUGAGACACAGCCCAGACUCCUACGGGAGGCAGCAGUAGGGAAUCUUCGGCAAUGGACGGAAGUCUGACCGAGCAACGCCGCGUGAGUGAAGAAGGUUUUCGGAUCGUAAAGCUCUGUUGUAAGAGAAGAACGAGUGUGAGAGUGGAAAGUUCACACUGUGACGGUAUCUUACCAGAAAGGGACGGCUAACUACGUG